rnacentral:rRNA from 1 species
UACGGAGGAUGCAAGCGUUAUCCGGAAUGAUUGGGCGUAAAGCGUCCGCAGGUGGCUGUGUAAGUCUGCUGUUAAAGAGUCUAGCUCAACUAGAUAAAAGCAGUGGAAACUACACGGCUAGAGUACGUUCGGGGCAGAGGGAAUUCCUGGUGUAGCGGUGAAAUGCGUAGAGAUCAGGAAGAACACCGGUGGCGAAGGCGUUCUGCUAGGCCGCAACUGACACUGAGGGACGAAAGCUAGGGGAGCGAAUGGG